rnacentral:rRNA from 1 species
CAGUCGCCGCGGUAAUACGGAGGGUGCAAGCGUUAAUCGGAUUUACUGGGCGUAAAGCGUGCGUAGGCGGCUUCUUAAGUCGGAUGUGAAAUCCCUGAGCUUAACUUAGGAAUUGCAUUCGAUACUGGGAAGCUAGAGUAUGGGAGAGGAUGGUAGAAUUCCAGGUGUAGCGGUGAAAUGCGUAGAGAUCUGGAGGAAUACCGAUGGCGAAGGCAGCCAUCUGGCCUAAUACUGACGCUGAGGUACGAAAGCAUGGGGAGCAAACAGGAUUAGAUACCCCUGUAGUCCCUGUCUCUUAUAC